GGGUUGUGAGGUUAAGCGACUAAGCGUACACGGUGGAUGCCCUGGCAGUCAGAGGCGAUGAAGGACGUGCUAAUCUGCGAUAAGCGUCGGUAAGGUGAUAUGAACCGUUAUAACCGGCGAUUUCCGAAUGGGGAAACCCAGUGUGUUUCGACACACUAUCAUUAACUGAAUCCAUAGGUUAAUGAGGCGAACCGGGGGAACUGAAACAUCUAAGUACCCCGAGGAAAAGAAAUCAACCGAGAUUCCCCCAGUAGCGGCGAGCGAACGGGGAGCAGCCCAGAGCCUGAAUCAGUGUGUGUGUUAGUGGAAGCGUCUGGAAAGGCGCGCGAUACAGGGUGACAGCCCCGUACACAAAAAUGCACAUGCUGUGAGCUCGAUGAGUAGGGCGGGACACGUGGUAUCCUGUCUGAAUAUGGGGGGACCAUCCUCCAAGGCUAAAUACUCCUGACUGACCGAUAGUGAACCAGUACCGUGAGGGAAAGGCGAAAAGAACCCCGGCGAGGGGAGUGAAAAAGAACCUGAAACCGUGUACGUACAAGCAGUGGGAGCACGCUUCGGCGUGUGACUGCGUACCUUUUGUAUAAUGGGUCAGCGACUUAUAUUCUGUAGCAAGGUUAACCGAAUAGGGGAGCCGAAGGGAAACCGAGUCUUAACUGGGCGUUAAGUUGCAGGGUAUAGACCCGAAACCCGGUGAUCUAGCCAUGGGCAGGUUGAAGGUUGGGUAACACUAACUGGAGGACCGAACCGACUAAUGUUGAAAAAUUAGCGGAUGACUUGUGGCUGGGGGUGAAAGGCCAAUCAAACCGGGAGAUAGCUGGUUCUCCCCGAAAGCUAUUUAGGUAGCGCCUCGUGAAUUCAUCUCCGGGGGUAGAGCACUGUUUCGGCAAGGGGGUCAUCCCGACUUACCAACCCGAUGCAAACUGCGAAUACCGGAGAAUGUUAUCACGGGAGACACACGGCGGGUGCUAACGUCCGUCGUGAAGAGGGAAACAACCCAGACCGCCAGCUAAGGUCCCAAAGUCAUGGUUAAGUGGGAAACGAUGUGGGAAGGCCCAGACAGCCAGGAUGUUGGCUUAGAAGCAGCCAUCAUUUAAAGAAAGCGUAAUAGCUCACUGGUCGAGUCGGCCUGCGCGGAAGAUGUAACGGGGCUAAACCAUGCACCGAAGCUGCGGCAGCGACGCUUAUGCGUUGUUGGGUAGGGGAGCGUUCUGUAAGCCUGCGAAGGUGUGCUGUGAGGCAUGCUGGAGGUAUCAGAAGUGCGAAUGCUGACAUAAGUAACGAUAAAGCGGGUGAAAAGCCCGCUCGCCGGAAGACCAAGGGUUCCUGUCCAACGUUAAUCGGGGCAGGGUGAGUCGACCCCUAAGGCGAGGCCGAAAGGCGUAGUCGAUGGGAAACAGGUUAAUAUUCCUGUACUUGGUGUUACUGCGAAGGGGGGACGGAGAAGGCUAUGUUGGCCGGGCGACGGUUGUCCCGGUUUAAGCGUGUAGGCUGGUUUUCCAGGCAAAUCCGGAAAAUCAAGGCUGAGGCGUGAUGACGAGGCACUACGGUGCUGAAGCAACAAAUGCCCUGCUUCCAGGAAAAGCCUCUAAGCAUCAGGUAACAUCAAAUCGUACCCCAAACCGACACAGGUGGUCAGGUAGAGAAUACCAAGGCGCUUGAGAGAACUCGGGUGAAGGAACUAGGCAAAAUGGUGCCGUAACUUCGGGAGAAGGCACGCUGAUAUGUAGGUGAGGUCCCUCGCGGAUGGAGCUGAAAUCAGUCGAAGAUACCAGCUGGCUGCAACUGUUUAUUAAAAACACAGCACUGUGCAAACACGAAAGUGGACGUAUACGGUGUGACGCCUGCCCGGUGCCGGAAGGUUAAUUGAUGGGGUUAGCCGCAAGGCGAAGCUCUUGAUCGAAGCCCCGGUAAACGGCGGCCGUAACUAUAACGGUCCUAAGGUAGCGAAAUUCCUUGUCGGGUAAGUUCCGACCUGCACGAAUGGCGUAAUGAUGGCCAGGCUGUCUCCACCCGAGACUCAGUGAAAUUGAACUCGCUGUGAAGAUGCAGUGUACCCGCGGCAAGACGGAAAGACCCCGUGAACCUUUACUAUAGCUUGACACUGAACAUUGAGCCUUGAUGUGUAGGAUAGGUGGGAGGCUUAGAAGUGUGGACGCCAGUCUGCAUGGAGCCGACCUUGAAAUACCACCCUUUAAUGUUUGAUGUUCUAACGUUGACCCGUAAUCCGGGUUGCGGACAGUGUCUGGUGGGUAGUUUGACUGGGGCGGUCUCCUCCUAAAGAGUAACGGAGGAGCACGAAGGUUGGCUAAUCCUGGUCGGACAUCAGGAGGUUAGUGCAAUGGCAUAAGCCAGCUUGACUGCGAGCGUGACGGCGCGAGCAGGUGCGAAAGCAGGUCAUAGUGAUCCGGUGGUUCUGAAUGGAAGGGCCAUCGCUCAACGGAUAAAAGGUACUCCGGGGAUAACAGGCUGAUACCGCCCAAGAGUUCAUAUCGACGGCGGUGUUUGGCACCUCGAUGUCGGCUCAUCACAUCCUGGGGCUGAAGUAGGUCCCAAGGGUAUGGCUGUUCGCCAUUUAAAGUGGUACGCGAGCUGGGUUUAGAACGUCGUGAGACAGUUCGGUCCCUAUCUGCCGUGGGCGCUGGAGAACUGAGGGGGGCUGCUCCUAGUACGAGAGGACCGGAGUGGACGCAUCACUGGUGUUCGGGUUGUCAUGCCAAUGGCACUGCCCGGUAGCUAAAUGCGGAAGAGAUAAGUGCUGAAAGCAUCUAAGCACGAAACUUGCCCCGAGAUGAGUUCUCCCUGACUCCUUGAGAGUCCUGAAGGAACGUUGAAGACGACGACGUUGAUAGGCCGGGUGUGUAAGCGCAGCGAUGCGUUGAGCUAACCGGUACUAAUGAACCGUGAGGCUUAACCUUACAACGCCGAAG
rnacentral:rRNA from 1 species